UACAGAGGUCCCAAGCGUUGUUCGGAUUCACUGGGCGUAAAGGGUGCGUAGGUGGUGGGGUAAGUCGGAUGUGAAAGCUCGGAGCUCAACUCCGAAAUGGCAUUGGAAACUACCCUGCUAGAGGAUUGGAGGGGGGACUGGAAUGCUUGGUGUAGCAGUGAAAUGCGUAGAUAUCAAGCGGAACACCAGUGGCGAAGGCGAGUCCCUGGACAACUCCUGACACUGAGGCACGAAAGCUAGGGGAGCAAACAGG
rnacentral:rRNA from 1 species